AUGUUGUUGCAAUAGUAAUAGAACUUAGUACAUGAGGAACCGUUCAUUCGGAUAAUUAGUAUUUGGGGCAUGUCUGAGCAGGCAAUGGCCUGAAGUUAUCAUCCGUUGGGUUAUGGCUGAACGCCUGUGAAUCAGAACCCGUGCUAGAACGCGAAGAUUAGCGCCUUUUGCGAUUUUUAGUUGAAUACGAAUAUAUCUUCGGACCCCAAAUCAUUCUAUAAGGGGUCGAUCUUACAGAGUUACAAGGCUUUGUAUGGUUUCUGCUAAUGUUAAUUUCAAAUAUUGUAAGAGAUAAACCCAUUACAGAUGACCUUUAUUGAACGGGGUAUUGUCAGCAGUAGAGUAGCCUUGUUGCUACGAUCUGCUGAGAUUAAGUCCUUUGUUCUAUAGAUUU
rnacentral:ncRNA from 1 species